CAUAUUUGGUUGCCAGCUCCAUCUCUUUCUUGGCACCAUGCUUCUUUACUUAAUUGAGCAAAUCUUGGGGGCAAAGACUCCUACAUUUGGGGCUGCCAGCUUAUCUCUUCCUUGUGUUUAUCCAAUUGUAUACCAUUUUGGUAUUCUUGCAAGAUCCUUGGUGUUAUUGGCUGCCAAUUUUGGAGUCUUAUGAGAUGCCAAAUUCGAGAAGGAUGGGGAAGAAAAGAGAAAGAGUAGAAGAUCUUGUACUAUAGAAAUGUAUCUUUGAAAGAAAUCUCACUUAUAGCUCCAUGUAUCCAAUUCGUAUAGCUUGUGUUGUACUUUGUACUAAUUUAUUCUCUUUUCCUCA